rnacentral:rRNA from 1 species
ACGUAUGGGGCAAGCGUUGUUCGGAAUUAUUGGGCGUAAAGGGCGUCUAGGCGGGGGAUUAAGUUAGAUGUGAAAGCUAUGGGCUCAACCCAUAAACUGCAUCUAAGACUGGUUGUCUUGAGUCCGGGAGAGGUGAGCGGAAUUCCAGGUGUAGCGGUGAAAUGCGUAGAUAUCGGGAGGAACACCAGUGGCGAAGGCGGCUAACUGGACUAGGCCUGACGGUGAAUCGCGAAAGCCUGGGGAGCGAACAG